UAAGGCUACAUCACUAAAUGAGCAGGCCAUGUUAACAUCGUGUAUAAAAGAUUUCCAAUCUUUUCCAGAGAUAUCAUGGCUGGCUAGGUCUUCAGGGAAGUAAAUAAGUGGGAACCCAUUAACAACUUCGUCACUCCUGGAAUGAAUGCAAAUUGGCGCGAAAGGUUUAUAUGACAGAGUUUCAAUAACAGCUUUAGAAAAUGACUUCGGUAGACCAACGGUAUUACCCUUGGUUUUAAAUGUCCUAUUUACGACUCCGUGAAAAACAUGAACGGUAGCGCUAGAGUUUAUGUGUUUCUUGUUGGUUACCGCCUUUUCAUCUUCUGCUGUAACAUUUCUUACAAAUGGAGCAAAGACAUUAAUAGUACAAGCUUUUUCUAUUGUCAAAGCCUUUUCAUCUUUUAUAUCCAUUGUCGUAGCGUCGGAUUCGAAAUUGUGUUUACGCGAUUUAUUUU